AGUGAACGCUGGCGGUAGGCCUAACACAUGCAAGUCGAACGGCAGCACAGUAAGAGCUUGCUCUUACGGGUGGCGAGUGGCGGACGGGUGAGGAAUACAUCGGAAUCUACUUUUUCGUGGGGGAUAACGUAGGGAAACUUACGCUAAUACCGCAUACGACCUACGGGUGAAAGCAGGGGAUCUUCGGACCUUGCGCGAUUGAAUGAGCCGAUGUCGGAUUAGCUAGUUGGCGGGGUAAAGGCCCACCAAGGCGACGAUCCUUAGCUGGUCUGAGAGGAUGAUCAUCCACACUGGAACUGUGACACGGUCCAGACUCCUACGGGAGGCAGCAGUGGGGAAUAUUAGACAAUGGGCGCAAGCCUGAUCCAGCCAUACCGCGUGGGUGAAGAAGUCCUUCGGGUUGUAAAGCCCUUUUGUUGGGAAAGAAAAGCAGCAGGUUAAUACCCCGCUGUUCUGACGGUACCCAAAGAAUAAGCACCGGCUAACUUCGUG
rnacentral:rRNA from 1 species